UCAUCCAAUAAUAAGGUGACAACUCAUCUCCUAUUCUAUAGUUUUCUUCUUUUUUAAGCCAACCAAACAACCUCAAAACAAUUAUUAUAGGAAAUAGGUUUCCUAUUCUUUGAUUUCCCAAUUUUUUUGGCGAAACGAACAGCCCCUAAGCCUACCUAAGUUCUACUUUAAACGCGAGAUUAAUUUUACCUCAAGAUCCAUGAUACUGACAAUACCUAAUUCUAGAUGAUGUGGCGAGGUAGCCAGCUGCAGUCAAUCACUAGAAGGGAGAUUUCAUAUGGAUCAGUAGGUCUUUGAUCUGUUGUUACUGCUGCUGCUCCUUUUUCUUCUCCUUGUGUUUAUAUGGAUAUCAUAAGAUGGUACUGAUGAUUUGUGUGCCACCAGUUGCCUUGGCAAUUGCUUAACUGCAAAACAGAUGAUUUUAAAAUGCGGUUGUGAACUUGAGUGCCUUUGCUGCUAUCUUUUUGCUUGUUUAUUAUAAUGGUGAGGCAACUUUCAAGUGUUAUAAGUUACGGAGCCGUUGCAGCCAUGUGCUAGAUAUUCAAAGGGGAAGCAUAGUAGGCAGCUCUUAAGCUUCACUGUUGCUUUAACAUGUGUUACAUAUUCUUCUGGCAAUCAACCAAACAGCUCCUUAGUGUUUCUUCUUGUUAUUGUCAUCAUCACCAUCAUCAUUGUUGUUGCUUCUCUUUUCCUCUGUUUAUCAUCGACUUAAAUUGUAGUGAACAAGUUUCCUUUUUAAAAACCAUGGAGAAGCUGUGAUGAUUUGCCUACAAAAGUGUAUUAUGAUGCAUCGCUGGAAUGUAUUGGUUUUGGUUCAGGGUUAGGGUUUGGGUUUAGGGUUUUGUGUAUCUAUUUGUCAGAUUUUCUCUUUUCCUGUUUCUGCAGUUUUCUACUGUGAUGGUGAGGCAAUUGUUGGCAACUUAUAUCAUCUUGUCAACUUUGCAGCCAUUUGCUAGAUCUGCAGACCUAUUCAGGGAAAAGUGUUGGUUUGUUCCUAAGGGGGUGUUAUUCAUUCAGGGUUGUUUGGUAGGGGACAAUUCUCAUGAUUGAUGUCAGGGCAAAUCUGAGCUCUCCACUGUCUUUCAUGUUCUCUUUUUUUAGAGCCCCUUUUCGUUGAUAUAGUUUUGGUUUGUAUCUGUACAGUAUGAUUGCCAUUCUCAUUUUAAAAUAAGAAGCAUUUUUAUUGGAGCUAUAUUAUGAAUUCACUCUACAGAUUUGAGCUUAGUAAUUAAUUGUUUUUAAAUUUUGUAUUAUAUUUCUCUGUUACGGUUAUAACAUUCAUUUGAACUCUUCCUACAGAUGAGAAGUGUUCAUUCUGAAAAAUAUCACGCCAUAUGUAUCCAAGGUUUUCAUGUUAGUUCAUUUGCAAACAGGGAUUUUCUUUUAAGCUAUUAUUAGCUACUAAUGGAGGUGGGGAAAAUGAACUACAUUCUGAAUAUGAUGUCCAGGCUUUUAACUCCCUGGAGUUCUUUGGCUUGAAAAUGUGAGACCAGUUAUUCUGGUUGUGCUCCUCCACAUGUUAAUAAUUUAUAUUCGACCUUUGCCUUUGUGUUCUUCCAUUUCACUUUUCUAGCUGCAGAUGGAACAAUUUUAUUGUAUUAAAAUGUAGUCGCAGAGAAGUGUUUUUAUUGGAGGGAAACAAAGAGUUCGCUGGUGACUUCACUUGGGCUUGAAUUGAGACCUUGUCAGAUGGUGUUGAUGAUAGUGCAAUCAUGUGGAAGUUUUGGCUACUCACAAGGAUUUGCAUACUGUCAAUUGUCAUGCUUGUGUUUUUAGCACAAAUUUUGAAUAUAUAGAAACUUUCUUUUUUUUCCCCCACAAUCACUUGACUUGUAUAGUGUUCUGGUGGACUUGUAGGGGAGAGGUUCAAGCGUGCGAGCGUGUGCUUUUCUGCCGUAAAGAGAAACUACCUGCAAAUAUUCUGCUGGCUUACACAUCCCAAAUUUUCUUCAAAUUAAUUCAGAGUGUGUACUAUAGACUUGUGCGUAUGUAUUCCAUCUGUAAAAUACUUUUUAAUGGAAAAUUUUCUUGUGAGGGUUGCAUUCA